AUUGAACGCUGGCGGCAUGCUUUACACAUGCAAGUCGAACGGUAACAGGCCUCCUGUUGCUGACGAGUGGCGAACGGGCGAGUAAUACAUCGGAACGUGCCUAGUAGUUGGGGUUAACUACUCGUAAGAGUAGCUAAUACCGCAUGAGAUCUACGGAUGUAAGCAGGGGACCUUCGGGCAUUGUUCUACUAGAGCGGCUGAUGGCAGCUUGGUUAGUUGGGGGGGUAAAGGCUUACCAAGCCUGCGAUCUGUAGCUGGUCUGAGAGGACGACCAGCGACACUGGGAGUGAGACAGGGCCCAGGGUCCUACGGGAGGGAGCAGUGGGGAAUGUUGGACAACGGGCGAAAGCCUGAUCCAGCAAGGCCGCGUGCAGGAUGAAGACCCUCGGGUUGUAAAGUGCGUUUGUACGGAACGAAAAGCCUGGGGCUAAGAUCCACGGGUCAUGACGGUACCGUAAGAAGAAGCACCGGCUAACUACGUG
rnacentral:rRNA from 1 species